rnacentral:rRNA from 1 species
CGAUUCCGGAGAGGGAGCCUGAGAAACGGCUACCACAUCUAAGGAAGGCAGCAGGCGCGCAAAUUACCCAAUCCUAAUACAGGGAGGUAGUGACAAGAAAUAACAAUACGGGACCUUUCGGUUUUGUAAUUGGAAUGAGUUAAGUAUAAACCCCUUUACAAGUAUCAAUUGGAGGGCAAGUCUGGUGCCAGCAGCCGCGGUAAUUCCAGCUCCAAUAGCGUAUAUUAAAGUUGUUGCAGUUAAAAAGCUCGUAGUUGGAUUUCUGCUAAUUACUUUAUAUAAUUUUACACUUUUUUGUGUAGUUAUAUAGUAUUAACAUAAUUCAUAUUACUAUAUUUUUUGUAGUAUAUGAAAUUUUACUUUGAGAAAAUUAGAGUGCUUAAAGCAGGCUUUUGCCUUGAAUACUUCAGCAUGGAAUAAUA